GCCAGAAUGGUGGAAUGGUUUGAGUACUGGACUACAACUCUGGAGACCAGGGUUCAAAUCCCAAUUCUGCCA